rnacentral:rRNA from 1 species
GAUGAACGCUGGCGGCGUGCCUAAUACAUGCAAGUCGAGCGAACAGAUAAGGAGCUUGCUCCUUUGACGUUAGCGGCGGACGGGUGAGUAACACGUGGGUAACCUACCUAUAAGACUGGAAUAACUCCGGGAAACCGGGGCUAAUGCCGGAUAACAUGUUGAACCGCAUGGUUCUACAGUGAAAGGCGGCUUUGCUGUCACUUAUAGAUGGACCCGCGCCGUAUUAGCUAGUUGGUGAGGUAACGGCUCACCAAGGCAACGAUACGUAGCCGACCUGAGAGGGUGAUCGGCCACACUGGAACUGAGACACGGUCCAGACUCCUACGGGAGGCAGCAGUAGGGAAUCUUCCGCAAUGGGCGAAAGCCUGACGGAGCAACGCCGCGUGAGUGAUGAAGGUCUUCGGAUCGUAAAACUCUGUUAUUAGGGAAGAACAAAUGCGUAAGUAACUGUGCGCGUCUUGACGGUACCUAAGCAGAAAGCCACGGCUAACUACGU